GAUCACAGGAGUAUCUGGAGCAUAUCUGACGUUGAGAUAAACAGCAGGAGAGGUGUAAUUGUUUCCCUCCACACCACAGUUGUAGUUUCCUGCAUGUCCUCUUCUGACUUGACCAACACUGUAUACAUUUAGAAUACUCCUAGUUACUGGCUGUGAGUUUCUGUACCAGAUGAAUGUUGGUGUGUCAGUCAGUUUACAGCUGCUUCUA
rnacentral:misc_RNA from 1 species